rnacentral:rRNA from 1 species
UCCCCGCAAGGGGAUGAGUAAAGCGGCGAACGGGUGAGUAACACGUGGGCAACCUGCCCUUCAGUCAGGAAUAACCCACCGAAAGGUGGGCUAAUACCGGAUAACGUCCUUUGGGGGCAUCUUCGGGGGACCAAAGGGGGCGAGCGAAAGCGGCUCCCGCUGAGGGAUGGGCCUGCGGCUGAUUAGCUAUGUUGGUGGGGUAGCGGCCUACCAAGGCGACGAUCAGUAGCCGACCUGAGAGGGUGACCGGCCACACUGGGACUGAGACACGGCCCAGACUCCUACGGGAGGCAGCAGUGGGCAAUGGGCGAAAGCCUGACGCA